rnacentral:rRNA from 1 species
UGAGGAAUAUUGGUCAAUGGGCGGGAGCCUGAACCAGCCAAGCCGCGUGAGGGAGGAAGGCCCUAUGGGUCGUAAACCUCUUUGUCAGGGAACAAAAGCGAGUAUGUAUACUAGUCUGAGUGUACCUGAAGAAAAAGCAUCGGCUAACUCCGUGCCAGCAGCCGCGGUAAUACGGAGGAUGCGAGCGUUAUCCGGAUUUAUUGGGUUUAAAGGGUGCGUAGGCGGCGGUGCAAGUCAGCGGUAAAAGCCCGGGGGCUCAACCCCGGCGAGCCGUUGAAACUGCAGUGCUAGAGAAGGCGAGAGGUACGCGGAAUGCGCAGUGUAGCGGUGAAAUGCUUAGAUAUUGCGCAGAACUCCGAUUGCGAAGGCAGCGUACUGGCGCCUGACUGACGCUGAGGCACGAAAGCGUGGGGGAUCGAACAGGGAUUAGAUACC